AGAAGACAAGAACAUGAAGGAAAGAGAACUCCUAGAGUGAACAAAUUGAUUGCUGAUGGCUGACGUUGACCAUACAAUGCCCAAGAACAAGUAUCUGGUUUUCUGAGAACUUGAAGAUUAUGUACUUCAAUAGACGUGACAUGUGGAAAACCUGUGUUGAUGGGAUGUGAGCUGAGGCCAAGGAUACUCAAUUAACACCACCCGUAUCUCUAGCCACUCAAGACACAGUGGAAAUAGAUACUCUUUUCAGAGAAUUGUAUCUUUGAAUCAUAUUUUCUUCAUCUAGAAGCACCAGUUAACAUGAACAAUCACACUGCCUGAUUUGAAGUAAAUAUUGAUCAGCAGCCUUAAGUCCAAGUGGCCACUUUCCUCAAGUAUUUGGAUCUGGUCCCAAUGCAGCAUUCUGUUGCCCAGGCUGGACAAGCUAAGCUUCGAGGAGGAGGUAAAUGAUAUGUGCUGAAGCUCCAUGGUUACCUUUGGAAUGGCCUGCUAGACUUAGGACCAGUGAUGGAGAGUAUGCAAUUGAUGAUCUGUGAACAGUUACUUCU